rnacentral:rRNA from 1 species
GCCUAAAUACUAGCCCAACACAUUACCCACUCCUAUAAUACAAAAUAAAACAUUUUUACCAUUAAGUAGCGGCGACCAAAAAAUGACUAAGAGCUAUACAAAUAGUACCGCAAGGGAAACAUGAAAUAAAAAUGAAAAAAAUCUAAAGCACAACAUAGCAAAGCUUAAACCUUGUACCUUUUGCAUCAUGGUCUAGCCAGUUCAACCAAGCAAGACGCACUUAAAGUUUGACCUCCCGAAACUAAGCGAGCUACCUUAAAACAGCCUCUCAGGGCUAACCCGUCUCUGUAGCAAAAGAGUGGGAAGAUUUUAAAGUAGAGGUGACAAACCUACCGAGCUUAGAGAUAGCUGGUUAUUCGAGAAAGAGAUCUAAGUCCACCUUUAAGUUUUUUUAUUCUCAACAAAUAUUGCAUAAACUUAAAAGCCAUUCAAAUAAGGUACAGCCUAUUUGAAUAAGGAAACAGCCUCCCCCCCAGGGUAAUGAUUUUUACACGUGACUAAGUGGGCCUAAAAGCAGCCAACUUCCAAACAGCGUCCAAGCUUCAUCACCAAUCAUUAUUAAUUCCACCAUUUAUCCGCAACCCGCAACCACUAUCGAAUAACUCCAUACUUUUAUGGAAAAUAUUAUGCUAGAACUAGUAACAAGAAAAGCACUUCUCCAAAAUGCAAGCGUAAGCCAAAAUGAACAACUCACCGGCACUUAUCGCCACAUAAACCCACAGUAUUAACCUGACAAGAAAAAAUUACUGCACCAAGCGUUAACCUUACACUAGAACAUUACUGGAAAGAUUAAAAAAGGGGGAAGGAACUCGGCAAACACUAGCCCCGCCUGUUUAYCAAAAACAUCGCCUCUUGACAAAAUAUAAGAGGUCCAGCCUGCCCAGUGACAAAAGUUAAACGGCCGCGGUAUCCUAACCGUGCAAAGGUAGCACAAUCACUUGUUCUUUAAAUUAGGACCAGUAUGAACGGCCCCACGAGAGCUAUACUGUCUCCCCCCUUCAAUCAGUGAAACUGAUCUCCUCGUGAAGAAGCGAGGAUACCACUAUAAGACGAGAAGACCCCAUGGAGCUUAAAACUUGUAUCACUGCCUCCACCACAUCAAACAACUAGGCAAACAAUGACUACUAGUCUUUCGGCUGGGGCGGCCACGGAGAAAAACUAAACCUCCAUGAUGAAAGGAACACCCCUAAUCAAAGAGCUACUACUCUAAGAAUCAACAAAUUGACAUAAAUUGACCCAAUAUUUGAUCAACGAACUAAGUUACCCUGGGGAUAACAGCGCAAUCCAUUUCAAGAGACCCCAUCGACAAAUGGGCUUACGACCUCGAUGUUGGAUCAGGGUGUCCUAGUGGUGCAGCCGCUACUAAAGGUUCGUUUGUUCAAC